rnacentral:rRNA from 1 species
GAUUUCCGAAUGGGGAAACCCAGUGUGAUUUGUCACACUAUCAUUAACUGAAUCCAUAGGUUAAUGAGGCGAACCGGGGGAACUGAAACAUCUAAGUACCCCGAGGAAAAGAAAUCAACCGAGAUUCCCCCAGUAGCGGCGAGCGAACGGGGAGCAGCCCAGAGCCUGAAUCAGUGUGUGUGUUAGUGGAAGCGUCUGGAAAGGCGUGCGAUACAGGGUGACAGCCCCGUACACAAAAAUGCACAUAUUGUGAGCUCGAUGAGUAGGGCGGGACACGUGGUAUCCUGUCUGAAUAUGGGGGGACCAUCCUCCAAGGCUAAAUACUCCUGACUGACCGAUAGUGAACCAGUACCGUGAGGGAAAGGCGAAAAGAACCCCGGCGAGGGGAGUGAAAAAGAACCUGAAACCGUGUACGUACAAGCAGUGGGAGCACGCUUAGGCGUGUGACUGCGUACCUUUUGUAUAAUGGGUCAGCGACUUAUAUUCUGUAGCAAGGUUAACCGAAUAGGGGAGCCGAAGGGAAACCGAGUCUUAACUGGGCGUUAAGUUGCAGGGUAUAGACCCGAAACCCGGUGAUCUAGCCAUGGGCAGGUUGAAGGUUGGGUAACACUAACUGGAGGACCGAACCGACUAAUGUUGAAAAAUUAGCGGAUGACUUGUGGCUGGGGGUGAAAGGCCAAUCAAACCGGGAGAUAGCUGGUUCUCCCCGAAAGCUAUUUAGGUAGCGCCUCGUGAAUUCAUCUCCGGGGGUAGAGCACUGUUUCGGCAAGGGGGUCAUCCCGACUUACCAACCCGAUGCAAACUGCGAAUACCGGAGAAUGUUAUCACGGGAGACACACGGCGGGUGCUAACGUCCGUCGUGAAGAGGGAAACAACCCAGACCGCCAGCUAAGGUCCCAAAGUCAUGGUUAAGUGGGAAACGAUGUGGGAAGGCCCAGACAGCCAGGAUGUUGGCUUAGAAGCAGCCAUCAUUUAAAGAAAGCGUAAUAGCUCACUGGUCGAGUCGGCCUGCGCGGAAGAUGUAACGGGGCUAAACCAUGCACCGAAGCUGCGGCAGCGACACUAUGUGUUGUUGGGUAGGGGAGCGUUCUGUAAGCCUGUGAAGGUGUACUGUGAGGUAUGCUGGAGGUAUCAGAAGUGCGAAUGCUGACAUAAGUAACGAUAAAGCGGGUGAAAAGCCCGCUCGCCGGAAGACCAAGGGUUCCUGUCCAACGUUAAUCGGGGCAGGGUGAGUCGACUCCUAAGGCGAGGCCGAAAGGCGUAGUCGAUGGGAAACAGGUUAAUAUUCCUGUACUUGGUGUUACUGCGAAGGGGGGACGGAGAAGGCUAUGUUGGCCGGGCGACGGUUGUCCCGGUUUAAGCGUGUAGGCUGGUUUUCCAGGCAAAUCCGGAAAACUAAGGCUGAGGCGUGAUGACGAGGCACUACGGUGCUGAAGCAACAAAUGCCCUGCUUCCAGGAAAAGCCUCUAAGCAUCAGGUAACAUCAAAUCGUACCCCAAACCGACACAGGUGGUCAGGUAGAGAAUACCAAGGCGCUUGAGAGAACUCGGGUGAAGGAACUAGGCAAAAUGGUGCCGUAACUUCGGGAGAAGGCACGCUGAUAUGUAGGUGAAGUCCCUCGCGGAUGGAGCUGAAAUCAGUCGAAGAUACCAGCUGGCUGCAACUGUUUAUUAAAAACACAGCACUGUGCAAACACGAAAGUGGACGUAUACGGUGUGACGCCUGCCCGGUGCCGGAAGGUUAAUUGAUGGGGUCAGCGCAAGCGAAGCUCUUGAUCGAAGCCCCGGUAAACGGCGGCCGUAACUAUAACGGUCCUAAGGUAGCGAAAUUCCUUGUCGGGUAAGUUCCGACCUGCACGAAUGGCGUAAUGAUGGCCAGGCUGUCUCCACCCGAGACUCAGUGAAAUUGAACUCGCUGUGAAGAUGCAGUGUACCCGCGGCAAGACGGAAAGACCCCGUGAACCUUUACUAUAGCUUGACACUGAACAUUGAGCCUUGAUGUGUAGGAUAGGUGGGAGGCUUUGAAGUGUGGACGCCAGUCUGCAUGGAGCCGACCUUGAAAUACCACCCUUUAAUGUUUGAUGUUCUAACGUUGACCCGUAAUCCGGGUUGCGGACAGUGUCUGGUGGGUAGUUUGACUGGGGCGGUCUCCUCCUAAAGAGUAACGGAGGAGCACGAAGGUUGGCUAAUCCUGGUCGGACAUCAGGAGGUUAGUGCAAUGGCAUAAGCCAGCUUGACUGCGAGCGUGACGGCGCGAGCAGGUGCGAAAGCAGGUCAUAGUGAUCCGGUGGUUCUGAAUGGAAGGGCCAUCGCUCAACGGAUAAAAGGUACUCCGGGGAUAACAGGCUGAUACCGCCCAAGAGUUCAUAUCGACGGCGGUGUUUGGCACCUCGAUGUCGGCUCAUCACAUCCUGGGGCUGAAGUAGGUCCCAAGGGUAUGGCUGUUCGCCAUUUAAAGUGGUACGCGAGCUGGGUUUAGAACGUCGUGAGACAGUUCGGUCCCUAUCUGCCGUGGGCGCUGGAGAACUGAGGGGGGCUGCUCCUAGUACGAGAGGACCGGAGUGGACGCAUCACUGGUGUUCGGGUUGUCAUGCCAAUGGCACUGCCCGGUAGCUAAAUGCGGAAGAGAUAAGUGCUGAAAGCAUCUAAGCACGAAACUUGCCCCGAGAUGAGUUCUCCCUGACUCCUUGAGAGUCCUGAAGGAACGUU